ensembl:lncRNA JPX JPX transcript, XIST activator
AGGGCUAGUGGAAGACUUAAGAUGGCGGCGUUUGCACGGAGUGCAAUCACUGCGUCCUUACGGGGGUUGCAAGGCGUCCGAAGUAUGAGUCCACUAACAAAAGUCCAGAAACUCGCCAGUUAAUAGUAUUGUGUCUCUUCAAAAUAUCGGAGAAUAAUUUCUUUCUCGCUGAUCGCCUAACUUCUACUGACGAAGCUUGGAAGUUGCAGAAGGUUGGAGUGCAAUGGCGCGAUCUCGGCUGACUGCAACCUCCACCUCCUGGAUUCAAGCUAUUCUCCUGCCUCAGCCUGCCGAGUAGCUGGGAUUACAGGCAUGUGCCACCGCACCCAGCUAAUUUUGUAUUUUUUAGUAGAGAUGGGGUUUCUCCAUGUUGGUCAGGCUGGUCUUGAACUCCUGACCUCAGGUGAUCCGCCCACCUCAGCCUCCCAAAGUGCUGGGAUUACAGGCGUGAGCCACCGCGCCCGGCCAGAACAUUAGUUUUAAACUUCCUAACCCUUGGGAGAAGGCAAAACACUUGAUGAAAUCUACAUAAAGACUAAAACAUUUUACCAAUUUUGCAUUGUUUGUUUGAAAUUGCAUUGACGACUGAUGGAGUUCGCUCUUGUUGCCCAGGCUGGAAUGCAAUGGCAUGACCUUGGCUCACUGCAACCUCUGCCUCCCCAGUUCAAGUGGUUCUCCUGCCUCAGCCUCCCGAGUAGCUGAGAUUACAGGUACUGGCUCCUGUAUCACCCAGCUCUGGAGUUGAAAGAGCUCUUCAUUCCUGAGUCUCCUGUACCACUGAGAAUAGUUUCUUCAAAGGAAAGAAGCAACUGGAACACACAUAUAACACUAACCCUUCCAGCUGCAUUAUGAGGGACCAGUACCUGUCUCAAGGCAAAAUUAUGACUUAGUUCAUCCUCACCUCUGGAGGCCAGUAAAAGUGGGUUAUAGAAGAACAAAGAGGCAUCUAGAUCUUUCACUGGGUUAUUUGGAGAGAAACAUCUCCUACCGAAGGCCAGUUUAACAAGACUGGUAGAGGAGGUUAUCUUAUCUAAUUCACAGAAAUCAACACAUUGAGUCAAGAAAAAUGAAACACAGAAACACUCUAAAUAAAAGAAGAUAAGUCUUCAGAAACCAACCCUAAUGAAAUGAAGAUAUGUGAUUAACCUGACAGGAAAUUAAAAAGAGCAACCAUAAAGAGUCUCAUGGGAGCAAUGCAUGAACAAACUGAGAAUUUUCAUAAAGAAAUAAAAGAUAACAAAAAGUAUAAAGUUGAAGAAUACAAUAACUGGACUCAAAAAUUUAAUGUGUCCAACAGAAGAAUCGAUGAAGCAGAAGAAAGGGCUAUCAAACUUGUAGAUAGGCCAUUGGAAAUCAUGUAAUGUGAGGAGAAAAAAGAAAAAAGAUUGAAGAUAGUUUAAGAGACUUUUGAGACAUCCUCAAAGGGGAAUAAUUUAUACAUUACCAGAUGGAGAAGAUAGAGGGAAAAGGACAGAAAACAUAUUUGAAGAAAUAAUGUCAGAAAACCUCAUAAUUCUGGCAAGGAAAUAGAAAUUUAGAUCUAAGAAUCUCGAACAUCAGGUAUGAUGAAUCCAAGGAGACUCACACCAAACCAUAUUGUAAUUAAAUAAAGGUUAAAGACAAUCUUCAGAGCAGCAAGGGAAUAGUCUCUUCUUACAUACAAAAUGAUCCACGGAAGACUGUCAGCAGACUUCACCAGAAAACUUUCACGCCAGAAGGCAGUCGUGAUAUAUACAAAAAGCUGAAAGGAAAACACUGCCAUCCAGGAAUACUAUCUCCAACUAUCCUGUGUUUCAAAAAUUAAGGAGAAAUAUAAA